rnacentral:sRNA from 1 species
GCCUGGAUGAAAAAGUGAGACCCUGUCUAAAAAAAAAAAAACUGAGGAUAUUGAGGAUAGUUACAGAUUUAUUUGUUCCUCCUCCAUUCCCGCUGCUUCAUUUAGCUAGCCUUAA